UUUAUGGAGAGUUUGAUCCUGGCUCAGAGUGAACGCUGGCGGCGUGCCUAAUACAUGCAAGUCGAACGAUGAAGCUUCUAGCUUGCUAGAAGUGGAUUAGUGGCGCACGGGUGAGUAAGGUAUAGUUAAUCUGCCCUACACAAGAGGACAACAGUUGGAAACGACUGCUAAUACUCUAUACUCCUGCUUAACACAAGUUGAGUAGGGAAAGUUUUUCGGUGUAGGAUGAGACUAUAUAGUAUCAGCUAGUUGGUAAGGUAAUGGCUUACCAAGGCUAUGACGCUUAACUGGUCUGAGAGGAUGAUCAGUCACACUGGAACUGAGACACGGUCCAGACUCCUACGGGAGGCAGCAGUAGGGAAUAUUGCGCAAUGGGGGAAACCCUGACGCAGCAACGCCGCGUGGAGGAUGACACUUUUCGGAGCGUAAACUCCUUUUCUUAGGG
rnacentral:rRNA from 1 species